rnacentral:lncRNA from 1 species
AGAAUUUUCUCUCUCUUUCUCUGCAAUAUUGUUCUUCUACUUUUAUUGUUUUAUCACAAAAUACCUUUUGUAGAUGCUGCUAAAAUAAAUUAGUCAUGUUGGGCCGUGCACAGCACGGGCUGAACCUUACUAGUAUAUAUAUAUAAGCGAGAGAAGAGUGUACGAACGCAGCAUUACAUCAUUGUGCAAAAAGUAACCUGGAUUGUACGUACCUUAGAUUUGUAUUGAUAUCAUUGGUGAUUCAAUUUAUUUACCCUCACUUCAAUUUCCACUUUACUUCCACUUCUGAUUCUUCUCAUUUGUUUUUUAGUCCGUCCUUGCUCUUUCUCUUUCUCUGCCAGUUUGACAUUUUGAUAUCUUCUUUGUUAUUCAUUCUCUCAGCAAAAAGUUAUUAAUUUCCCUAAAUUGGUUUGACUUCACAUAGGAAACACUCUUAUGUCUCCAGCUCCAGAACGCUCAAAAUCAACUUUCAUACGGUUUCCGUCUCCUGCUUCAGUUUCAGAGAUAAAAAUAAUAUGCUCUUCUCCUUCUCCUUCAAAGGUCGUCUACCUCUUCGAGUGAGUUUCUCAACUUUUUCUAUCUUCCUUUUCUCUUGGAGUUCGCUGAUGUCUUUUGUGCAUGCCGCCUUCUCUGUCCUUGUGAGCUUUUCGGCAUUCUUUCUCUGUUUAAGAUAUCCAGUUGUUGCUAAUUGAACUUUGGUAGACCUCUAUUACAGUCAUCUACUUUUCUGAUAGGUUUUUCAUUUUUGUUGGAUUUUUUACAUACUUUAUUUAAUUUAAGAAUACAUGUUUGGAAUAAGAUACAUUCAUACAAAAUUUUGAUAUUUGAUGAACACAAACUUUAUUUUCGGGCAAUCAACCUUAAUUCCCUAUUUCCCCUCUUUAUUUUGGGAAUUUUGUUUAUCUAUUUUUCUGUUAAUUUCUACAAAUAUCUACUCACUUCAUUCCUAUUUGAAGCUCUAAGAUUGUUGGUAUGGGGAUAAGUAAGUGAUGUAAGCAAGAUUAAUAACGACUUGAUUACAAAUGACAAAAUAUUGAACUAGAGUAGUAUACAUUACACUCUUUUUUAAAUCUCAUUGUUUGAGUUAUUUGAGGCACCUAACCCUCAGGGUUGGCCUGGUGGCAAUUGACUUGAGCCUUGGGGUUUGCUCCCUUUCAAGGUCUCAUGUUCGAAACCCACUGGGUGCAAACAAUUUCUGAGGGUCAUCGGACUGGGUAACACCUGAAUUAACCGUGGUGCACUUGCGGGAAACUCCUUGCCGAGGGCCUGUGCACCCCGGGAUUAGUCGGGGCUCUUAGAAACUCGGACACCCGGUGCAAAUCCCAAAAAAAAAAAAGUUAUUUGAGGCACCCCAAAUGUUCGACGAUAUGUCAAAAAUAAUUAACUACAUAAUAUUUUUUUUUUCCUUUUGACUGCUCUUCUAUCGUUCAUUGUGUGUAUUUCUACUACAAGAUUGCCUCUGUUUGUUUCUAAUUUAAAAACGUGCCACUUUUUAUCUAACUUUACCUUUUCAAGAAAAAAUAAAGAUGACUUUAAAGUUGCUCAAAAUUACCCAAAUUGUAAAUAUAAUUUUAUGAAGUUAUAAUUGAACUAUUUGGAACAUGAGUAUUGAAAGAUAAAGAUAUUGCUGAGCCGAAGGUUGGGGGUUUAGAUUAUCCAUUUCUUUGCAUGACCUUCUUUUGAUAGACUUGAGUGUUCCAAUGAUGGUGAAGAAGUUGGUCGAUUAAAAUAGACAAGAAGGAGGACAUUUAUUACGCUAUUUUUGUACCUUGUGAAGAGCAAAAUCAACUGCUCCUCUUUGUUGUAAGAUUACUUGAAAGUUAAAACAUCAGAGGUUUAAUACAAUAGGUGAUUGAUGGUCAAAAGUUGGAAACAAGAGAAGUGUUAAGAAAAGCGAUGAAGAUGUUGUGUGUUUACAUAUUUAACCUAAGGUUUCACUACUUGUGCCACUUAGAUCUCCAGGAUAUAUGAAGUGUUAAUGCCAUCUAUAUUCGAGCUGAUGAAAUCUUAACACUUUGGGGAGCAUAGGUCAUCCUGAAUGGAGUAAAAGUAGCAUAAGACAUUAUGAGUGGAAGAGCUCAAGGCGAAUGUCUUGAAUAGCGACAAAGGUUAUACAAAGUUACAAUAUUGUUUGUAUUCUGUAUUUAAAUCCAAUUUAGUGAGUCACACUCUUCGUUUUACUUCUUUGAUAUUUGUUCGUGGUUGAGAAUAUUUUGUGGAUGUAGUAAUCUAACAGCUAUUACUUAUGUUUGUGUUCAAGAAAUUCAUUGAAACAUAUAUCAUUUGUUUGCAUCUGUUUCAAUUGCAGUUUGGUAUUAACCGCCUAAUUUUGUGUCUAUCAGUAUCAGAAAAAAUUAGAAUUAUACCAAAUUUAAAAUUUUACUUCAACAAAAUAAAAAGACUUGGAACAGGAAUGUCGACAAAUAGAGGGUCAAGAAGAGUAAGUGAUAUCAUUCUCUAUUCUUGCUUCUUCUUUUUUAACCCCUGGUCUAUAUUUCUUCUUUUCAUUUUGUUUUGGUAUUGAAAUUGGCAGCUCAAGGGUGUUGAAAAGAAAAGAACAUGUGGUACCUGUAAUUCUGGAGAUUAGUCAAAUUAUAAAUGGCAAUAUCACCAACACUAUGAAUGUCUUUGUUUGUCAUAUGAUAGUGUUUGCAAAUAACUGCUUGGUUUUGCAGAAAUUGAAGCUAUAACUUUGGUUCUUGUAAGUGUUUGCCAAUUUUGAUGUUAAUAUUUUUGAAAAGCAAUGUGGUCAUGUGUAGGGAGAUUGUAAUGUUACUGUCCAUGUAUAGUCCUGCACGCAGCGUUGAAGAUGUCUUAACUUUUAGAAAGGAACUUUUCCCCGAGACAGUAGUGGUGCUUCUUGGCCAUAAUAUUAGAUUGCUUUCUUAUAUCUAGAAACCCAAAUGUGAGGUGAUAUGAUGUAGACAAUUCUCAUGGUUAAUAGCAUAUAUUUAACUAGUAUUAUUUUUCUUAAGGUUCUUGAUACUAUUAUAUUCAUUAGUGCUGUUGUAGCUGGAAUUUCAAAUAUUUGGUGGUUUAGGGUUGCGGACAGUUCCAGUAGUUAAUAAUUUGAUACUUGUUAACCGUGAAUCAUAUUCUGAUUACUUGGUUGUGUAGCAAUCUGGAAUUCAAAUUGUGAGGUGGUUUACAUAAGUUAAUAAUGUAUCCCGUUCUUAUUUUGGGAUAGAUUUGAUCAUGUUAUAAUAUUCUUUCACGUUAUUGCAGCUGAAAUCCCAAAUGUGAUAUUGUUGCAGCAAAUCAUUCACAUGGGAACAAUGCUUGUGAAGAGCAUAAGAUGGUGGAUGUGCUUUAUGUAAUAGUAGUAGUUUUACUCCAUCCAGUUUGUUGUACAUAUCUGUAGUGUGGUUUGUUUUCAUAGAAACAACGUGACUUGACUAUGUUAAUGUUUUGGUUUCUUUUUAAUUCUAAGCUCUAUUUCAGCUCCCAAUUCUGCCGUCUUCAACAUUUUUCAAACAAAACUAAUUCUAUGUCCUUUGGUUGUUUGAAGUCAGCUUUGUAAUUAUAUUUGCCGGUACUGAGAAAAGUUCAACUUUUUCCUUAUUUAGUUUUUGAAGUGGACUUUGUGCAUUUAUAACUAAAGUGACUGUACAAAAAAUAUCUUUUGUAUAUGUUGUUGGUAUAAUGCAAUGACGCUUGGAAUAACAAAGUUGUUAACAACCCUUUACUGAAAGACUUCAGAUAAACUAGAAAACAAAAAUAAUCAUGGGCAUUGCACGGGCAUACCUUGCUAGUUUUUUUUUAUAAAUAAAAGACAUAAAGUCUGUAUGAGUUACAGAAGUAAGUCAUCAAGAAAUGGGGUGCUAAAUGGUAGAUUGACCAUCCCAGAAGCCACAAGAAAUGCAAGAAUCCACAAGGGUAGAAUCCAUUUGAACACAACAACUAAAAUCUUCUUUCCUGUGACAACAAACAAAAGUUCAAGAUUGUUAAGCAUUUAAUAAAAGAAGUAAAUAUAAAAGGAAUUUAUUACCAGCAGAGGCAGAUGUGUCUUCAGUUUUAUCAAUAAGCCAUUCACCAGUUUCCCUUAGCUUCUUUUCCACAUCUGCUUCAUUCUCCCCAACAGAAUUUGACAAAAUUGAAUCAAACAAAGUCUUGCUCUCCUUUGCUUCCCUUAACAAAUGAAUCUUUUCUUAGAUUAGCUACACAGUAUUUGAUUACACUUAUGUAUCUUCAGCUUUUUAAAUUCAUUUGCUCCCUUGCUAGGAGAAAGUAUGUAAACCAAAAUGAUCAAAUUUAACACAGUGAUAAUAUCUCUCCUAAAAUACACAAGCUUUACAGAAAGAUUCAGUAAAAUAGCAACACCAAGAUAGUAGUAGUAUGUUCGAUAAAGUAAAAGGGUAUUUGCCUGCUGGUAUCUCUGUCUCGGAAAAUGCCAGCACCAAUGGCUCUUUCAAUCUCUGCGACUGAAAGUUGCCUUUGAUUCUGCUUCUUUUUCUUCUGCAGCUCCAGUCUUGGUUGGGAUUUGAGGAGUGAAGGGUCUAAGUUAUUAGAAGGAGAAGGAACAAAAGGUGAAGGGUCAGUGGGUGGAG